rnacentral:tRNA from 2 species
UCCUCCUUAGCUCAGCUGGUUAGAGCAUCUGACUGUUAAUCAGAGGGUCCUUGGUUCGAGCCCAAGAGGAGGAGCCA